UAGGGAAUCUUCGGCAAUGGGGGGAACCCUGACCGAGCAACGCCGCGUGAGUGAAGAAGGUUUUCGGAUCGUAAAGCUCUGUUGUUAACGAAGAACGAGUGUGAGAAUGGAAAGUUCAUACUGUGACGGUACUUAACCAGAAAGGGACGGCUAACUACGUGCCAGCAGCCGCGGUAAUACGUAGGUGGCAAGCGUUGUCCGGAUUUAUUGGGCGUAAAGCGAGCGCAGGCGGUCAAUUAAGUCUGAUGUGAAAGCCCCCGGCUCAACCGGGGAGGGUCAUUGGAAACCGGUUGGCUUGAGUGCAGAAGAGGAGAGUGGAAUUCCAUGUGUAGUGGUGAAAUGCGUAGAUAUAUGGAGGAACACCAGUGGCGAAGGCGACUCUCUGGUCUGUAACUGACGCUGAGGUUCGAAAGCGUGGGUAGCAAACAGG
rnacentral:rRNA from 1 species